UUAACUUUACCUACACUUUAAACUUUCUUGCAUCCAAACCAAAUCUUACCCAAUCACUUUUCUUAAGGGGGGUGUCUUUUAUUAAGUGAAGGAGGAAACGGUGUAGAGUUGUGUGAAUGUGAAAUAAGGUGAUGAGUUUCGGACAUGUCAUGCUAGCUACUUUCACAUAAAGAUUGCUUGGUGCAUCUUUUAAUGACUAAG
rnacentral:lncRNA from 1 species